GGAAAUGUGAGAGGUGUAAUUUUCAGAAAAAUCAUGCUUUGCGUUUUCCAGAAACGUCUAACCUACCAUCGCCCGUGUGUCACGCUGUAUACCAAUGAAAACCUUCUCUUGAAAUUUCCAUUUAUUGGUCAAAUUGAUUUUCUUAAUUCACUGUAAACAAAACAAGUAGAACUUGUACAUCAAAAGAUUAUAUUGGUGGCUGCGGAUAAUGUGUCUUGCAAAACAGAAAGAGUGGACAGAACUUGAAAAAUUCUCGAAAAUAAAAAAAUCUCCUAUAGGAUAUGCCCCCUUUGUUGAUGUUUGUCUUCAGAAUGAUAACCGCCAAGAAGCUCUUAAAUAUCUACCCAAAGUUACUGAAGAUAUUAAAGUGAAAUAUUGUAUAAAAACGGGG